AAUUAAUUGAUUUUUUUUGAGACAGAGUCUCGUUCCGUUGCCCAGGCUGGAGUGCAGUGGCGUGAUCUCAGCUCAUUGCAACCUCCACCUCCUGGGUUCAAGUGAUUCUCCUGCCUCAGCCUCCCGAGUAGCUGGGAUCACAGGCACCUGCCAUCACACCCAGCUAAUUUUUUGUAUUUUUAGUAGAGAUGGGGUUUCGCCAUGUUGGCCAGGCUGGUCUUGAACUCCUGGCCUCAAGUGAUCUGCUCACCUCGGCCUCCCAAAGUGUUGGGAUUACAGACGUGAGCCAUUGCACCUGGCCCACUCUUCGAAUUUAAGCUUCCACUUCAUCUUUAGGUUGGCUGCAUUUCCCGUGGCCUUGGUGGGCACUUAGUGCAAUUGGCCCUGUUUGGUUGCUUAGCUAGGCCUGGGGGAAGAAUCUGACUUCAGUUACUUUCUGGAAGAAUGUGAUUUAGGACUCUUCAUGGCGCCAUGGGUUGGAGAAUGUUUGGAACUCUGCUGUGGAGGUUGCCCUUUUCAUGGUUUGCUCAUAUUCUACCCAGAAAAGACUUAGGAGACUUAGAAGAAGUUAGUACUUUGCAUCCUACCUACACUGCUCUCCUUGGAGGAAGACCUUAUUCUGGAUUUUACAGAGCAAAUCAGAUCUGAUGUUUGUAGCUUCCAAUGUGCUAUGGAGCUUCCUCCUGCAGAGUGACUUGGGUCUGGAGAGCCUGAUAUUUGCAACUGAUGUCUGCAGCUUCCAGUGUACCUGCUAGCCCUUAUAAACCUCACACCAGUACUUUGAGGUCAGAGUUAUUCAAGAGCUUACUGAGACAACAGGCCCUGAGAAGCUAAGCGAUUUGCCCUGUGGCAUGGAUGGUAGAGAGGGGAGCUGGCACUUGAACUCAGGUCUGGCUCGACCUCAGAAUGAGUGAUCUUGUGUCUCUGUGCCCCAGGACUGCAUCCUCUCACCAAUACUUCACCAGCCUAGGGAUCUGUGCUCCCAAGAGCCUGUUGACAUUGUAAACCUGAAUCCAAUCCAUAAACCAAAAGCCCAGGCUUAGAAUCACAUUGUGGUGGAGCGGGUGUUUGGUGGAGUCCCUGAUUCAAAAUGUUUGACAAGGAAGCCUGACCAUUUGUCUUCUGUUGGGUGUUUGGAGUCCAAGAGACCUGAGAUCAGAGUCCAGCAUUGUCACUUCAUCCAGCCUUGGCAGUGUGGGAUGUGACUCUGCCUCUGAACCGCAGUUAUACCAUCUGUGCUGGUGGCGUUGUGAGGAUGGCAGGUAACAAAGACGCCCUGCUGGCGGACUUGGAGUCUACCACCUCCCACAUCUCCAAACGGCCUGUGUU
rnacentral:lncRNA from 1 species